GGGGCAUUUCUGGGCGAGGCUGCGUGGGGCCGGGUCGUUAAAGAGGGAAGAAGGCUGAGCGGAGGGGUUGUGAAGCUCCCUUGGUCUCUCUGCUCGCACACGGGGCUAGCCGAGCCUUUUCCUUGUUGUUUUUCUUGAUUUUGUGAAGGCUCUUUGUGGAAAGCAGAAGUGCAGGUAAUGGGGGAGGCUGCAUCUGGGGGGAAAAUGUGAGAAAACGGAAAGCGAGGAGUGAGAGUGGCGUGGGGAAACCCGGCGGCUGUAAGAGCGCGGUGGGGCUGCUGCCGUCCGACGUGUGGGGUUUCCUCGUUAUUGCUGCUUGCACCUUUAAACCCACCGCUGAUAGCAGUCCGCAUAAAAUGAACUCCAGAAACUUCCAGUUUGGAACUGGGAGUCUGAGUUGAAAGCCUGGAGAGCAACAGUUGAGAACAAAACGAAACUUGCGUGGAGUUGCUGAACUAAUAAACAGAAAUAUGGCGAAGCA